GACAGAGGUGCCGAGCGUUAGGCGGAAUCACUGGGCUUAAAGCGUGUGUAGGCGGGUCGUUAAGUACCUUGUGAAAUCCCCCCGGCUCAACCGGGGAACGGCUGGGUAUACUGGCGAUCUUGAGCCAGCUAGGGGCAACCGGAACAAACGGUGGAGCGGUGAAAUGCGUAGAUAUCGUUUGGAACGCCAAUGGUGAAAACAGGUUGCUGGGGCUGUGCUGACGCUGAGACACGAAAGCCAGGGGAGCGAACGGG
rnacentral:rRNA from 1 species